UGAGUAUUCUUUAAGGCCAGACAGAAUCUUGGGAAGGUUGCCAGUUGGAAUUCUGGGUAGCUGGAGUCAAUUGGUUUUCCAACUGUCAACAGACUCCUGGAGGUUUUUUCCCUAGGAGGAGACUGUUUCUGUUCCCUGGAACACUGAAAAAAUCCAGUGGCAGGUGAAGGAGGAGAACAGUUUAUUCUUAUAGAUGAACAACUGAAGCAAACCACAUUAAGUGACCAGCCCCUGUGUCACACAGCCAUUGUCUGAGGCUAGAUUCGAACUCAUGUAGAUGACUCUCUCUGACACUCAGGGAGUUUAAGUGACUGCAAUCCAGUGACAAGGGCUUCCUUGUCAUUCCUCUCACAAGACAUUUCAUUUCUCAUCUGAGUAUUUUCACUGGCUGUCCCCCAUGCCUGAACUCUCUUCCUCCUCAACUGCAUCUUCUGGCUCAGACAGAAGGGGGACUCCUGGAGUAGACACCCCUCCAACCUCCCCAACAGGUACAAGGCCUGUUUGUUGCCCGCAACCUGGUUUAACCCCCCUGCCAAGAUGGUUUGCAAGGAUGUGACCACUGCACAGGCUAAAGCUUCUUGGAGUCAUAGAUAAAGAGUCAAAGAAUCCCAGAUUGAAAGAGACCUUCGAGGCUAUCAAGUGUGAUCCUACAAGAAUUGCCACUUCUGCAUACCCAACAGGCAGCUGUCUAGCCUUCACUUGAAGAUCUCUAAAGAAAAUACACCUACUGAUUCUCAAGGCAACCCAUUCUCAUUUUCAAAAGGACAUUUCCUUACAUUGAGUAUAAUUUUUCCUUUGGAACUUUUUCCUGUUACUCUGACUCCUGGGAUAAAGUAGAAUAAAUUGAAUAUUUUUUCCA
rnacentral:lncRNA from 1 species